rnacentral:sRNA from 1 species
CUCCUUUCUCUGUGAUAACUCCAGCUUGUGUCAAGUUGACACACAAAACCAGCCAGCACACCCCCCCACUCCCAUGUUAAAAAUUUUUAAGUGAGCUUAAAGAGAGGCGAGCGCACACCCAGGCGUAACUGUUCCAUUGUAACCACACCUGGGUUACAGGCUCCUCACGACCGAGUCAGCGUUUUGUUGCUUGUGUUGUUUUACUUGGGAGGUAGGGGCUGGGGGUGGGAUUUUAUCAGUUUUAAGGAUUUAUUCUAUUUUUAAUUAUGUUUGAAUGUGUGUGGGUAUAGACAAGUGCCUGCUGAGACUAGAAAAGAGUGUCAGAUACCCUGGAACUGGUCCUCUGUAAGAGCUCAGGCCCCUGGCUGUCCUGACUGUCCUAGCGUGCAGAGAUCCGACAGAUUUGGACAGAGGAGUUCUACCUGAGGUCUUUGGCAACAAGUUCCCUAACCUCUCUUCCUUUUGGUAUCAUUUCUAUGGAAAGGGAGUCUUGAUUUUGUCAUAAAACUGUCAUAAAAAUACAGAACGCGUGAAAUAAGAAUUUAGCCAUUCUCUGGGGUUUGUGUUUUAUUGCUUUGUUUUGAGACUGGGUCUCACUAUGUAGCUCAGGCUGGCCUUGAACUUGAAGUCCUCCUGCCUCAGCCUCUCAGAUGCUGGAAACACAGGUGUGCAGAGCCAUUCCUACAGCAUAAACAUUGGAUUAUUUCAUGUGACAUAUUACGCAGGGUCUCUCUUUUGUGGUUUGCUGCAGCAUAAGACAGGCUGGCUGGCCGUCUGGGAGCCUCCUGCGUCACUCCUCAUCUCUGGGGGAACCUUGGGAUUAUAAGCACUUCCUGCCUCGGCAGCUUGACCUGUGUUCUGGGGAUCCUAACUCCUGUCUUCACACUUGCUCGGAAACUCUCUACCUGACACUUUAUAUUUAUAAGCCUUUAAAGCACCUGGCAGAUAACUAACCUUUAUGUUGUUAUGUCUACUUCCCUGCCAGUAUCCCUGCGAUAUCACUAACCAUGUUCCCAUCUGGGCUGCUCUUAACUCUAAUCGGCCAUGUUUUCACGACUCACCUACCCCAUGGCAUCUUCUCCUCUCUCGACCUUUCCCCUUUUCCCUUGUGCUCUCCUCAGCCUCGAAGCCGAGGAACCAAAACCCCACCCACUUCUCUUCUGCCUAGCUGUAGGCUGUCGACGUAUUUAUUCAACCAAUAGUUUUGAAUUAGGGAGCAAGGUCCCAUAGCAUUACUUGAUGCCUGUGGGGGCAUUUGUGCCCAAAAGUACAUAGGCCUAAAACAGCGAUUCCAGGUCUGGUUUAGGGCAGCUUCCCUCCCAUGUCUGUGCGAGAGAAGAACAUGUUAAUAAUAACAGAGCAUAGACAAGCAUUCGUCUGUAAGCCAGGCACAUGAGGCAGAGGCUUAAAGAUCAAAGUAAAGUCUGGUUUGAUACUGAAUUCCAUGCCAGCCAGGGCUGCUGGAGCCAGGCACCGUGGCAUACAGCAUCUUUAAUCCCAAGAUUCAGGGCAGAGACAGGUGACUCUUCGUGAAUUUAAGGGCAGCCAAUGCCUGUGUGAGCAGGGUUUUAAAAAUCCAAAACCAAAAGUACCACCACCUCAAAAAUACCGAAAAAGGGGCCUGGGAAGAAGACUCAGUUGUCAAGAGUCCUGGCUGCUGUUGCAAAAGACCUGAAUUCAGUUUCCAGUGGCACACAACUGCCUGUCACCGCAGUUCCAGAUCCGUGCCCUUCUCUGCCUUUUCGGCACCCGUGCUUGACUCCCCAGCCUCUUAAAAUUAGGCUAGAAUCCUGGCUUCUCACUCAGCUUCCAGCUUGUGCUUAAACUGGGCGACCACUCAGAAAUGCACAGAGCAACAGCCAUUUGGAACUACUGCCCAGAAGAAGGCAGAAAGGGGCGAGAAAGGAAUGGUCUUUGGAGAAGGGAGAAGGUUUGGUGUCCUAAUAAAGAGAUGAGGUGGGGGGAAAUGUUUUUAGGAAGCUAGCCGGAUGUGAGAAGGCUUAGAGGAGGUUGGAGCAGGACCAACAUGGUCAGCGGUCUAUGAAAUAAAAGAUUAUUAAUGAACGAUCAGAAAGGCAGGCCUGAGUCAUCUUCUGACUACAGAUGGAAAAAUGGCCUCCAGACUGACACACUUUCCAGAGCCACCCGAAAAAUUAUUAAGUACGUAACCAUUUGAUCCAGGUUCCAUAAAGCUCUGCAGGCCAAAGGCCUUCUGGGAAAACACAACACAAGUCUAGGAGAGGCCUCACUGAGCUCCUCUGUAAAAGUCAAGCAGACCAAUCAAUCACCUGGGGGACUAUGACCUGAAGUUCCUUACCUUUCGUUCCCGUGAGAAGAGAAACUAGUACAGAUUCUGCCUGGUGUGUUGGUUGGGGCACUGCGGUUUCCUUGGCCAUUGUCCCCUGUUAUCUUUGAAAGCAUUCUGUGUGUACGUUUCAAUGACCUUUGCCUGUCUUCCCCACCACAUUCUGUGUCUGAGUUCUUCCCAGAGAUUACAAGAGACCGGAGGAGGGGGUGUGAGAGAGAUUCCAGUAACGAAAUGGCAUCACGCAUUAUCGGUUAGCAGAGCAGACAGAUUAAAGACGUGCAGAAGAUUGAGGGGUCAGGCUCCCCAGAUCAGGCGGAGAAGAGGAAGCCCCCCUAAGAAAAGGGAGCCCUCCAGUUUUCACUGAACUCAGGAAAGCUGUCCUGACAUGGUGGACUACAAUCCUAGUAGUGAGGGCUGGAAGGCAGAGAGGGAAAGGUCUGGAACCUUCCAAAAAGAUCCUCAGCUAUACAGUAAGUCUGAGUAUGUGAGACCCUGUCUUAAAUACUAAUAAUCCCCUCCUCCUUUCUUCGAUUUUGCUUUCCGUUUGUCCAUCAUUUCUUCAUCCCAGAACCCUCUGACAGAAGAAUACAUCUCCUCUCAAGUCCUUCAAACAUAUUACAGAUCAAUCUUCUUUGAACCCCUACCCUAGCAAUCAGUUCUGCUGCAGUCUGGCCUAGUUGCUCUCCAGGCCAUCUGCACAGCCUCUACACUAAGAUCACCCCUCAAUGUCUUACCCAUAAAUCUUUUACACUCAUUUCCUGAGAGGAACAUCAUCCUUUUCAAGGUUGGUCUCUACAAAGAAUAGCUUCCUAAGAACAACUAAAUGAGAGCACAUUUCUUAGGUUUUAUGUAUUUGAAAAAGUUUGAUUCUGCCCCCAUGCUUGAUCAUUUGGGAGAAGCAGUCCUCUCUAUGUUGGGAUUCACAUCCCCUCAGAAUGUCAAAGGCAUUUUGCAUUGUCUUCUAACUUCCAAGUUCAGUGAUGAUACUACCAAGGUUUUAAUGCUUCAUGUGAGACCGGUUUCUCUCCAGGAGGGUUUUAAUGUUCAUCUCGUUUCUGAACAUUAUGGUAUAGGAAUACUUCCAACUAGUAUGCUGAACAACUUAUGUGCCCUCAGCCUAGAGAUUCAUGUUUCUCAUCCAUUACACUCUUGAUACUCUGAGAUAAUUCAUUAGAGCACAUUACGGCUAGGAUCCUGAAUGUCCCCCCAGAGACCUGUGUGUUGAAGGCUUGGUCCUCAGCCUGUGGUGCUAUUCGGAAGUGGAAUCCCAAGGGUAGGGCCCUAGUUGAAAGAAGGUAGAUUAUGAGGGCAUGCUCUUAAGAGGGUAAUGUCCCCUGCCCUCCCUCCAGCUUCUGCUGACACGUCCUCUUGCUCUGAUGCUUUGUGUCACCCCAGGUCUAAAGCAAACGAUCAGGGGCUGAAACCAUGAGCCAAAUGACCUUUCUUCUGUACAGAUGUGUUUUCUGUAAGCAUAUGUUUUGUCACUGUGACAAGAACUAACGCAAAGGGGCUCCUGUCUCCAUGCCUCACAAUUGCUUUUGUUACUACUCAGUCCUCAAUGGCCCAGCUUGGCAUGAUAGAGUACACCUAUAAUGCCAGCAAUUGGGAGGCUGAGGCGGGAGGGUCAUGAGUUUGAGGCCAACUUGAACUAUAUAGUGAAUUCUAGGCUCAGCUGGGGCUACAUAAGGAAACCUGACUUUUAAAAGAGAGAGAGAGAGAGAGAGAGAGAGAGAGAGAGAGAGAGAGAGAGAGACUCUGAUUGUAGACUUUGUGUGGAAAGCAUGAAUUAUUAACCUAGAGGGAGUCACAAAGGGAUGACUAAUUUGACUAGGCUUAGAGAACCAGGACACUGUGACUCAGAGAACAUUAUAACUGAAGGACAGAAGAAGUAAAGGGACUAUAGCCAGGUAUCACCACACCAGUGCACAAUACCAGCACUUGGAGGGCCGACAAUGGACGAUUAAGCGUCCAGGCCAGCCUGGGCUAGACUCUGUUUCAAAAACCAUAGGUACGUGGUAGAUACAGAUCUGAUACUAGUGAGAUCUCGUAAUCAAAGAAGAAAAUAUUAGCAUAAGCAUUUAAAUGAAUCACGUUGUACACCUAUACGUGUUAAGAAUAACUGAAACAUGCUAACUUACUAGUAAAGCUAAACUCUAGUGGUUCGCUCCUGAAACUCAAAGUGAUAAUUACGUCAUUUUAGAUACUGCAUUUAUAGCAAUGAGUCACCACCAAUAUCAAAACAUGACUUGGCAGAACGCCAACAUGAGCAGCUCCUUCAGAGUCUCUUGAAAGAGAUGUCAUUUGGCCUUUAGCUCUGCAUGCCACCUUGUUGGUCUCUCUGUGCUCACUUGGAUUUAUGUUGUUGUGUGAGACAGGGUCUCAUAGAAUCCAGGCUGGUACUGAACUCAUCAUGUAGCCAGGGAUGACGUAGAACUCGUGAUUCUCCUGCUUUUGUCUCCCAAGUGGAUAGGAUUACAGGCAUGUCCCACAAUACCCGGCU